ACAUGCAAGUCGAGCGGGAAAGGUUCCUUCGGGGACUGAGUACAGCGGCGGACGGGUGAGUAAUGCGUGAUCGACCUGCCCUUGGGACGGGGAUAGCCACUGGAAACGGUGGGUAAUACCCGAUGUGACCACGACACCGCAUGGUGAUGUGGUAAAAAGGUUGGGAUCUUCGGACCUUCCGCCCAGGGAUGGGAUCACGUCCUAUUAGCUUGUUGGUGGGGUAACGGCCUACCAAGGCGAUGAUGGGUAGCGGGCCUGAGAGGGUGACCCGCCACACUGGAACUGAGACACGGUCCAGACUCCUACGGGAGGCAGCAGUGCUGAAUCAUUCGCCAAUGCGCGAAAGCGUGACGGUGCGACGCCGCGUGCGGGAUGAAGGUUUUCGGAUUGUAAACCGCUGUCAGGGCAUAGGAAACCACAGACGUUAAUAGCGGCUGUGCUGACCAUGCCCAAAGGAAGCACAGGCUAAUCUCGUGCCAGCAGCCGCGGUAAUACGAGAUGUGCAAGCGUUGCUCGGAAUCACUGGGCAUAAAGGGUGCGCAGGCGGCUUGGUAAGUCAGGUGUGAAAUCCCACGGCUCAACCGUGGAAUUGCUCUUGAUACUGCCAGGCUUGAGGGUGAAAGAGGCAAGCGGAAUUCCGGGUGUAGCGGUGGAAUGCGUAGAUAUCCGGGAGAACGCCAAUGGCGAAGGCAGCUUGCUGGGUCACUCCUGACGCUCAUGCACGAAAGCUAGGGGAGCAAACAGGAUUAGAUACCCUGGUAGUCCUAGCCGUAAACGAUGGGCACUGGGUCAUGGGACCUCUGAUGGUUUCAGGGCCGUCGCUAAUGCAUUAAGUGCCCCGCCUGGGGAGUAUGGUCGCAAGGCUAAAACUCAAAGGAAUUGACGGGGGCUCGCACAAGCGGUGGAGCAUGUUGUUCAAUUCGAAGCAACGCGAAGAACCUUACCUGGGCUUGACAUGCUAGCAGUAGGACCCCGAAAGGGUAACGACCGGUAUCCAAUCCGGAACUAGCACAGGUGCUGCAUGGCUGUCGUCAGCUCGUGUCGUGAGACGUUGGGUUAAGUCCCGUAACGAGCGAAACCCCUGUCGUCUGUUGCUACCGGGUCAUGCCGGGCACUCUGGCGAGACUGCCGGUGUUAAACCGGAGGAAGGUGGGGACGACGUCAAGUCAUCAUGGUCCUUACGCCCAGGGCUACAAACGUGCUACAAUGGCGAGUACAGAGAGAAGCGAUACCGCGAGGUGGAGCAAAUCUUCAAAGCCCGCCCCAGUUCAGAUUGGAGGCUGCAAUUCGCCUCCAUGAAGUUGGAAUCGCUAGUAAUCGCGGAUCAGCAACGCCGCGGUGAUACGUUCCUGAGCCUUGUACACACCGCCCGUCAAGCCACCCAAGCUGGAAGCACCCGAAGUC
rnacentral:rRNA from 1 species